AUUGAACGCUGGCGGCAUGCUUUACACAUGCAAGUCGAACGGUAACAGGCCGCAAGGUGCUGACGAGUGGCGAACGGGUGAGUAAUGCAUCGGAACGUGCCCAGUCGUGGGGGAUAACGCAGCGAAAGCUGCACUAAUACCGCAUACGAUCUAUGGAUGAAAGCGGGGGACCGUAAGGCCUCGCGCAAUUGGAGCGGCCGAUGUCAGAUUAGGUAGUUGGUGGGGUAAAGGCUCACCAAGCCAACGAUCUGUAGCUGGUCUGAGAGGACGACCAGCCACACUGGGACUGAGACACGGCCCAGACUCCUACGGGAGGCAGCAGUGGGGAAUUUUGGACAAUGGGCGCAAGCCUGAUCCAGCAAUGCCGCGUGCAGGAAGAAGGCCUUCGGGUUGUAAACUGCUUUUGUACGGAACGAAACGGCUCUGGUUAAUACCUGGGGCUAAUGACGGUACCGUAAGAAUAAGCACCGGCUAACUACGUGCCAGCCGCCGCCGUAAGAC
rnacentral:rRNA from 1 species